UGAACGCCGCCUUCUGUGUGCCGCGCUUGUGCUGUCACCCAAAACCCAUCAUUGAAACACAUGUCCUUAAAUCCUUUGCUGGUACUCUUGGCUUUUGUCCCUGCCCUUGCAGUAGCCGCCCUAUCCUGCCUGGGUUUUCAUCUUUCCCUACCGCCUCUUUCUCCAAAAAUCCACGAUUUGUCUGUUUUCUAAGCUUGGCUUCUGUUUGAAAUCAACUGCAAGCCUUUAAAAAUAUCUAUGGGUUCCAUCCACUUCCAUAGAUUCAGGAGCAAUUGGUCUUUCGUGAUGUCUGGGCUUCGAAAGGUUCUCUGCGUGUGUUUAUUUUUGCUUUUUGUUUAGUAACCUAGCGAUUCUCACGCACAACUCACGAAGAAAUUCACUGUUAAAAGCGUCUAUUUUUGUGACCCUACCUAAACAUCGUUUUGCAGCUUCAUCUCUCGCAGAUGUGACAGAUGCUCAUGCUGAACCUAAGGUGAUUAUAUCUCAAGAUGUGGGCCCCCAGCUGCUGUUCCAGUGCCAGGCCUGUCUGCCACCAUGCUCCCCGCCAUGAUGGUCGUGGACUCCAACUGUAAGCCCCAAAUGACUCUUCUAUCUAUUUGUGACUCUUCCAG
rnacentral:lncRNA from 1 species